UACGAAGGGGGCUAGCGUUGCUCGGAAUCACUGGGCGUAAAGCGCACGUAGGCGGCUUUUUUAAGUCAGGGGUGAAAUCCUGGAGCUCAACUCCAGAACUGCCUUUGAUACUGAGAAGCUUGAGUCCGGGAGAGGUGAGUGGAAUUCCUAGUGUAGAGGUGAAAUUCGUAGAUAUUAGGAAGAACACCAGUGGCGAAGGCGGCGUUCUGGACUGUUUCUGACACUGAUAGACGAAAGCCAGGGGAGCAAACGGGG
rnacentral:rRNA from 1 species